rnacentral:rRNA from 1 species
GCUAGUAAUCGCGGAUCAGCAUGCCGCGGUGAAUACGUUCCCGGGCCUUGUACACACCGCCCGUCACACCAUGAGAGUUUGUAACACCCAAAGCCGGUGGGGUAACCUUUUGGAGCCAGCCGUCUAAGGUGGGACAGAUGAUUGGGGUGAAGUCGUAACAAGGUACC